rnacentral:rRNA from 1 species
UACGUAGGGUGCAAGCGUUGUCCGGAAUUAUUGGGCGUAAAGAGCUCGUAGGCGGUCUGUCGCGUCGAAUGUGAAAACCCGGGGCUCAACCCCGGGCCUGCAUUCGAUACGGGCAGACUAGAGUUCGGUAGGGGAGUCUGGAAUUCCUGGUGUAGCGGUGAAAUGCGUAGAUAUCUGGAGGAACACCGGUGGCGAAGGCGGCAUCCUGGACCAAUAUUGACGCUGAGGAGCGAAAGCUAGGGGAGCAAACGGG